AACGAACGCUGGCGGCAUGCCUAACACAUGCAAGUCGAACGAGACCUUCGGGUCUAGUGGCGCACGGGUGCGUAACGCGUGGGAACCUGCCCUUAGGUUCGGAAUAACUCCCCGAAAGGGGUGCUAAUACCGGAUAAUGUCUUCGGACCAAAGAUUUAUCGCCUUUGGAUGGGCCCGCGUUGGAUUAGCUAGUUGGUAGGGUAAAAGCCUACCAAGGCGACGAUCCAUAGCUGGUCUGAGAGGAUGAUCAGCCACACUGGGACUGAGACACGGCCCAGACUCCUACGGGAGGCAGCAGUGGGGAAUAUUGGACAAGGGGCGGAAGCCUGAUCCAGCAAUGCCGCGUGAGUGAUGAAGGCCUUAGGGUUGUAAAGCUCUUUUACCCGGGAUGAUAAUGACAGUACCGGGAGAAUAAGCUCCGGCUAACUCCGUG
rnacentral:rRNA from 1 species